rnacentral:misc_RNA from 1 species
UCUGUUUUGCUUGAUAAUAAAGACCCAUCUAUUUUGCAGUUACAACUGCAGCAACUCGGUGGAUAUUAGGCUUUUUUGCCCAUUCAAUUUAAUUGAAAUGAAGAGCUGGAAAUAUGUUGUCACUUCUGCUGUGAAAUGAUAUUUCAGGGAGUUCUCUCCAACAUUUUCUAUUCGGGAACCUAGUGGUAUUAUUUUCAUACUCCCAACACUUUGUCCUGCUGUUUUUUGGCUGAUUCUCUUUUCCUGCACGUUUGCUUCUCAGUGUUGACUCUCAAUUUCUUGUCCCAAUUGCUGUUAGAAAAGCAAGUUGGAUUUAUUGUGAGACUUGGCCUAUGAAGAGUAAGACAUUUUGUGCUGGAUGGCCGUUUUGAAUUGCGUUAUUUCUCUUGCGUUUGCUGAUGAUAAUCCAGGGCUGCGCAUAUGUUGACCGAGACCGAAACCAAAAAACUGGAAUGCAAUUUGUAGUGGACCGAACUGAAUCAAUGUUAAGAGACUAACUAAAUCAAAUCAAAUUGAAAUAACUUGAUCUCAGCUUGGUCAAUCAAUUAUUUCAAUUUGCAUUGUAUCUGUACCCCCGAUAAUCUCAGUUUCUGCUUUGUGUUCUGAGAGUUCAAAUUGUGUCUCAAAGAAACCUUGGUGGGUAUGAAUGUUGCAUGAUGAAUAUUGAUACCAAC